rnacentral:rRNA from 1 species
UACGAAGGGGGCUAGCGUUGCUCGGAAUCACUGGGCGUAAAGGGUGCGUAGGCGGGUCUUUAAGUCAGGGGUGAAAUCCUGGAGCUCAACUCCAGAACUGCCUUUGAUACUGAAGAUCUUGAGUUCGGGAGAGGUGAGUGGAACUGCGAGUGUAGAGGUGAAAUUCGUAGAUAUUCGCAAGAACACCAGUGGCGAAGGCGGCUCACUGGCCCGAUACUGACGCGGAGGCACGAAAGCGUGGGGAGCAAACAGG